AUAGAUAGAAGGAAAACCACUAAGGCUUCUAUGUAGCCUUAUUUAAAGUCAGCUUCCAAGUCCUAUGUUUUUCUUGCCUGUCUUCUGACCUAUUUGCACCACAAUUAGUCAAAUAUGGUUCAGUAUCACCACGCAUCCAGCACAGAGUUGCGCCGCGUCCUGGAGCUCUGGCACAAGCAGUUACGCACCAGAACUGUCAACAUGUCUCCACUUUGAACAGCUCUGGGAGCAGUGCACCUUAAGAACAUCUCUAAAUGAAUCUGAACACCGACAGUUUCUCAGGUCCUGGAAAAGGGGUUGUCAAGCCCCCCCCCCCCCAAGACAAACAGUUUCCAUAUCCACCGUGCCAACAUCAGGGUGUGAUCCUAACCCACGUCACUGUCUCCACACCUGCCUCCAGAGCAGCAGUCUAAGACAAGACUUUUACCAAGUGCCUUCAUUCUGCAGGAAUUAAUUUCUCAAGACAUGCACCCAUUUCUUAGGAUAGGAAGAUCUUCCUGAGCUGUUUUCAGUCACCUGCCUCCUCCCUGUGCAUGCAACACAAACAGUUGUGAACAGGAACACUUGGAUGCACCAUCCCUGCCCUGCUCCCAGCUAGAAUUGCACCGUAAGGAGCAGACAGAACUGAACUCACUGAUGAGCCUCAGUACCUUUCUCUCCAAGCCUCAUCACAGACAAGGAAAUCUUUACACCAGCUUGGUAUGGAAACCAUUAAUAUCCUUGCAGAAGACCUAUGCAGAACUCAGUGCUUGGGAAUUUAAGAGCAGUCUCUGAAGUCCUACAGAACUGACAAACUACUCAUUUAGAGAGGCUCCACGCUGGGUGACUCCCAUGAUCUCCUUUUCUUUACAAACAGCAUUUCUUUUAAAAAGGCAUUGCCACCACUGCUGGUUUCAACACCACAAUCCCAGAGCAGCGGCAACAGAGCCCACAAAGGAACGUGGUCCUGAACAAGUCAACAGGCAUGGGUGAAAGGUCUGCAAGCAACGUCACGCUCCAAACCUCAACAGUUCACUUUUCUUUUGCACCAGUAUUUCUAUUUUUGCUCUGUGGCAAAAAUACCCAGAGGCAUUGGUUGGAGGGAUUUUUAAUCUAUGAUUUGUUUAACUUC
rnacentral:lncRNA from 7 species